rnacentral:rRNA from 1 species
GUAACGAAUCUUCCGCAAUGGGCGCAAGCCUGACGGAGCAAUGCCGCGUGUGGGAUGAAGCUUCUACGAAGUGUAAACCACUGUCAGGGUCUCGCACCACCGAGCAGACCCAGAGGAAGGGCCGGCUAAUUCCGUGCCAGCAGCCGCGGUAAUACGGAAGGCCCGAGCGUUAAUCGGAAUCACUGGGCUUAAAGCGUGCGCAGGCGGACCGGCAGGCAUCCUGUGAAAGCCCACGGCUCAACCGUGGAACUGCGGGGUGAACCGCCGGUCUCGAGGCAGGUAGGGGUGAGUGGAACUAUGGGUGGAGCGGUGAAAUGCGUAGAUAUCCAUGGGAACGCCAAUGGCGAAGGCAACUCACUGGGCCUGUCCUGACGCUCAGGCACGAAAGCGUGGGGAGCGAACGGGAUUAGAAACCCUAGUAGUCC